UACAGCCACUUAUAGCCAAAAUUAGAUGGCAAUAUCCACAAAUAGAUAUUCUACAAUGUAGGUUUUAAAGCUUAUCAAACCUGAAUAUAUAUCAAAAAUGUCCGAGAUCUUCUGGUCAUAAUUGCAUUUCAUCAACUAUCUACUAAACUCACAGCUAUUCUAAAAAGCGAAUUAGCACUGCAUUUCAUGGCACAUUAAAAAUAACUGGUUCCACUUACAAUAAAUGUUUAUUCUAAUAA
rnacentral:lncRNA from 1 species